GUUUAAUUUCUGAUUAUUUAAAAAUUCAAUAGAAUUGUUACUAAUCGUACAAACACUACAUAAAUUUUCAAAACUAGCAAAACAAAUUUUUUCAAUACGAGAAAUUCCUACUUCAGCAGCGGCUUUACCAUAACCUUUUCGUCAAAAAUCACGAGAUUGUCUUCUAAAAUGUUGGUUCAUGAAUUAUGGAGUGGCAGAUAAGAUAGGGUCGGAAUAAGACUUGAAUUCAUAAUUGAAAAAUACAAAGAAUCAAUUGAAUAAACUGAAGCACUCAUUUCUUCUAAAAGUUUGAAACGAUAAAAAAUUUUCAAGUAUCGUUCUUCAUUACAAGCAUAUAUUGGUUUAUGGAUGGACGAAUAUUAUAAAAGCAGACGACGAUCAUCGGUAAUGGAAACCAUUCGCCAUAACGCAAAUAGAUUUUAGAAGAAACAAAAACAAUAAACAAAACAUAGAUUAAUAUUCAGAUAACUCAAAGUAAAAGCAAUUUAGAAAUUCCAGUGCCACUAUUACAGGAAGAGGUAAACUGGAUGUGAUGUAUAUGAAUACAUGUCAGGCAAGUGUGCUAAGGCAUCAUCCAACAUGAUAGCACUUCAUUGUCAUUCCAAUUGUUGCCUUGGAAAAAUGGAUACUCCAAUUGUUGAGUUUAUGUUGGAGGACACAGUAUAAUCCUCAUUUUGUAAGAGGAGAGCAUAAAACAUGCAGAAAUGCAUUAAAGAAUGUUGGCACAGUAUGGAAGCAGAUGCAUGUUUUAGAGAAAAGUUUAUUGUUUCACGACAAUGUGCUUCUUCAUAUACUGUACAUAUUAUUGAAAAGGUCAAGUUUGACAUUCUUCCCCAUUCAUUAUAGAGCCAAGACCUUGCUUUCACCAGCUACUACUUGUUUGGACUUCUAAACAGAGCACUUCAUAAUCGCAGAUUUGAUAGUGAUGAACAAGUAAAAGACAUGAUACAUAAAUGGCUACAUGCCCAGCCAAACAAUUUUCCUCUGCUGGAAUCCAUAAGCUUCUGGAUCACUAUAAUAAGUGUGUAAUAGUAAUGGGGAAUUAUGUCAAAAAAUAAAUUGUUUAGUUUGCAUCAACUUGUAUAUUA